rnacentral:rRNA from 1 species
CACGUAGGGCGCAAGCGUUGUCCGGAAUUAUUGGGCGUAAAGAGCUCGUAGGCGGUCUGUUGCGUCCGCUGUGAAAACUCGGGGCUUAACCCCGAGCCUGCAGUGGAUACGGGCAGACUAGAGGUAGGUAGGGGAGAAUGGAAUUCCCGGUGUAGCGGUGAAAUGCGCAGAUAUCGUAAGGAAGACCAGUGGCGAAGGCGGGUCUCUGGACAGUUCCUGACGCUGAGGCACGAAGGCCAGGGGAGCAAACGGG